ACCUCUGUGGUGUAAUGGUAACAUCCCUCAUUAUAAUGAAUGCAUUUCGAUUUAAUAGUGAGGAGUUGUGCGUUCGAGCUGCGCCGGAGGUA